UACGUAGGGUGCGAGCGUUGUCCGGAAUUAUUGGGCGUAAAGGGCUCGUAGGCGGUUUGUCGCGUCGGGAGUGAAAACUCGGGGCUUAACCCUGAGCCUGCUUCCGAUACGGGCAGACUAGAGGUAUGCAGGGGAGAACGGAAUUCCUGGUGUAGCGGUGAAAUGCGCAGAUAUCAGGAGGAACACCGGUGGCGAAGGCGGGUCUCUGGGCCGAUACUGACGCUGAGGAGCGAAAGCAUGGGUAGCGAACAGG
rnacentral:rRNA from 1 species